rnacentral:rRNA from 1 species
GUGGGGAAUUUUGCGCAAUGGGCUAACGCCUGACGCAGCAACGCCGCGUGGAGGAUGAAGGUCUUUGGAUUGUAAACUCCUGUCAGCGGGGAAAAAGCGACCGGUGCUCAUACCACCGGGAGUUGAUUGUACCCGCAGAGGAAGCCCCGGCUAACUCUGUGCCAGCAGCCGCGGUAAUACAGAGGGGGCAAGCGUUAUUCGGAAUUAUUGGGCGUAAAGGGCGCGUAGGCGGCUUCGCAAGUGGAAGGUGAAAUCCCUCGGCUUAACCGAGGAACUGCCCUCCAAACUGCGUUGCUUGAGGCCGGGAGAGGUGAGUGGAAUUCCCAGUGUAGCGGUGAAAUGCGUAGAUAUUGGGAGGAACACCAGUGGCGAAGGCGGCUCACUGGACCGGUUCUGACGCUGAGGCGCGAAAGCGUGGGGAGCAAACGGGAUUAGAAACCCUAGUAGUCC